GGAGAGUGGCGCACGGGUGAGUAACGCGUGGGGACCUACUCUCUUAGUGGGGGAUAACGGUUGGAAACGACCGCUAAUACCGCAUACGCCCUUCGGGGGAAAGAUUUAUCGCUAAGAGAUGGACCCGCGUUGGAUUAGAUAGUUGGUGAGGUAAUGGCUCACCAAGUCGGCGAUCCAUAGCUGGUUUGAGAGGAUGAUCAGCCACACUGGGACUGAGACACGGCCCAGACUCCUACGGGAGGCAGCAGUGGGGAAUAUUGGACAAUGGGGGCAACCCUGAUCCAGCCAUGCCGCGUGAGUGAAGAAGGCCUUCGGGUUGUAAAGCUCUUUCAGAUGCGAAGAUAAUGACGGUGACAUCAGAAGAAGCCCCGGCUAAUUUCGUGCCAGCAGCCGCGGUAAUACGAAAGGGGCUAGCGUUGUUCGGAUUUACUGGGCGUAAAGGGCACGCAGGCGGUCUUG
rnacentral:rRNA from 1 species